UAAUGUCAUUAUGGAGAUCAUCUACCUGCUGGCUGGAGAGGUGAGGGAUUCUGGGUAAUGUCAUUAUGGAGAUCAUCUACCUGCUGACUGGAGAGGUGAGGGAUUCUGGGUAAUGUCACCAUGGAGAUCAUCUACCCGCUGGCUGGAGAGGUGAGGGAUUCUGGGUAAUGUCAUUAUGGAGAUCAUCUACCUGCUGGCUGGAGAGGUGAGGGAUUCUGGGUAAUGUCAGUCUGGAGAUCAUCUAACUGCUGACUGGAGAGGUGAGGGAUUCUGGGUAAUGUCAGUAUGGAGAUCAUCUACCUGCUGACUGGAGAG